GAUGAACGCUGGCGGCGUGCCUAAUACAUGCAAGUCGAGCGAACAGACGAGGAGCUUGCUCCUCUGACGUUAGCGGCGGACGGGUGAGUAACACGUGGAUAACCUACCUAUAAGACUGGGAUAACUUCGGGAAACCGGAGCUAAUACCGGAUAAUAUAUUGAACCGCAUGGUUCAAUAGUGAAAGACGGUUUUGCUGUCACUUAUAGAUGGAUCCGCGCCGCAUUAGCUAGUUGGUAAGGUAACGGCUUACCAAGGCAACGAUGCGUAGCCGACCUGAGAGGGCGAUCGGCCACACUGGAACUGAGACACGGGCCAGACUCCUACGGGAGGCAGCAGUAGGGAAUCUUCCGCAAUGGGCGAAAGCUUGACGGAGCAACGCCGCGUGAGUGAUGAAGGUCUUCGGAUCGUAAAACUCUGUUAUUAGGGAAGAACAAAUGUGUAAGUAACUAUGCACGUCUUGACGGUACCUAAUCAGAAAGCCACGGCUAACUACGUG
rnacentral:rRNA from 1 species